rnacentral:rRNA from 1 species
AAACUUUCAACAAACGGAUCUCUUUGGUUUCUGGCAUCGAUGAAAGAACGCAGCGAAAAUGCGAAACGUAAUGUGAAUUUGCAGAACUCAGUGAAUCAUCGAAUCUUUGAACGCACAUUGCGCCCGCCAGUACUCUGGCGGGCAUGCCUGUUCGAGCGUCAUUU